AACGAACGCUGGCGGCAUGCCUAACACAUGCAAGUCGAACGAGAUCUUCGGGUCUAGUGGCGCACGGGUGCGUAACGCGUGGGAAUCUGCCCUUUGGUUCGGAAUAACAGUUGGAAAGGACUGCUAAUACCGGAUGAUGACGAAAGUCCAAAGAUUUAUCGCCAGAGGAUGAGCCCGCGUAGGAUUAGCUGGUUGGUGUGGUAAAGGCGCACCAAGGCGACGAUCCUUAGCUGGUCUGAGAGGAUGAUCAGCCACACUGGGACUGAGACACGGCCCAGACUCCUACGGGAGGCAGCAGUGGGGAAUAUUGGACAAUGGGCGAAAGCCUGAUCCAGCAAUGCCGCGUGAGUGAUGAAGGCCUUAGGGUUGUAAAGCUCUUUUACCCGAGAUGAUAAUGACAGUACCGGGAGAAUAAGCUCCGGCUAACUCCGUGCCAGCCGCCGCCGUAA
rnacentral:rRNA from 1 species